UAAACAUCUGGGUCCACCGUACAAAAUAGUCCAAACUCUACUGUAAAACAAGCUCGGCUUCUCAGCACGAGCAUAAACUCAAUCUACACUAAUCUGAGUAUCCACUACGCACUAACAGCAGUGAUACAAAAGAACAACAGUUCCUGAAGCUAUUUCGGUUAACUUUUCGAAAAGUGACAGUGUAGGUUUAACGAGUUUUCUCCUAAGUCAAAUUCCAGUUCAGUAUAUAUAUAACUUCUUCUAUAAUCACUAAAUUAUACUCCAAAUUCAGAUUUCAUCUAAAACAUGCAAAUCUAUGAAUUCGAGCUACUAAACAUGAUAAUCCACAUAAGACAAUACAUGCUGACACUCUACGACUUAGGAGGAAAUCCGACGAUUUCGAUAAACAUUAACCUACCUUGAACGCUCGUCCAACACCUGCUAGAAGUCAAUAGGAGAAACUUCGCGCGCUCGCUCGACCUCCAACGGCUCAACUGAGACAACCCACGCACACGCACGACCCUCCUACGAAGCGAAAAAUCCAACGAGCUCGAUCCUCAACAUCCCAAUGAA
rnacentral:lncRNA from 1 species